GGGCUUGCUUUGGCAGCUUGUAUAUUAAAAUUGGAGCCAUACAGAGAAGAUUAGCAUAGAACCUGCACAAGGAUGACACGCAAAUUCGUGAAGCGUCCCAUAAAAAA